GAUGAACGCUGGCGGCGUGCCUAAUACAUGCAAGUCGAGCGAACGGACGAGAAGCUUGCUUUUCUGAUGUUAGCGGCGGACGGGUGAGUAACACGUGGAUAACCUACCUAUAAGACUGGGAUAACUUCGGGAAACCGGAGCUAAUACCGGAUAAUAUUUUGAACCGCAUGGUUCAAAAGUGAAAGACGGUCUUGCUGUCACUUAUAGAUGGAUCCGCGCUGCAUUAGCUAGUUGGUAAGGUAACGGCUUACCAAGGCAACGAUGCAUAGCCGACCUGAGAGGGUGAUCGGCCACACUGGAACUGAGACACGGUCCAGACUCCUACGGGAGGCAGCAGUAGGGAAUCUUCCGCAAUGGGCGAAAGCCUGACGGAGCAACGCCGCGUGAGUGAUGAAGGUCUUCGGAUCGUAAAACUCUGUUAUUAGGGAAGAACAUAUGUGUAAGUAACUGUGCACAUCUUGACGGUACCUAAUCAGAAAGCCACGGCUAACUACGUGCCAGCAGCCGCGGUAAUACGUAGGUGGCAAGCGUUAUCCGGAAUUAUUGGGCGUAAAGCGCGCGUAGGCGGUUUUUUAAGUCUGAUGUGAAAGCCCACGGCUCAACCGUGGAGGGUCAUUGGAAACUGGAAAACUUGAGUGCAGAAGAGGAAAGUGGAAUUCCAUGUGUAGCGGUGAAAUGCGCAGAGAUAUGGAGGAACACCAGUGGCGAAGGCGACUUUCUGGUCUGUAACUGACGCUGAUGUGCGAAAGCGUGGGGAUCAAACAGGAUUAGAUACCCUGGUAGUCCACGCCGUAAACGAUGAGUGCUAAGUGUUAGGGGGUUUCCGCCUCUUAGUGCUGCAGCUAACGCAUUAAGCACUCCGCCUGGGGAGUACGACCGCAAGGUCGAAACUCAAAGGAAUUGACGGGGACCCGCACAAGCGGUGGAGCAUGUGGUUUAAUUCGAAGCAACGCGAAGAACCUUACCAAAUCUUGACAUCCUUUGACAACUCUAGAGAUAGAGCCUUCCCCUUCGGGGGACAAAGUGACAGGUGGUGCAUGGUUGUCGUCAGCUCGUGUCGUGAGAUGUCGGGUUAGGUCCCGCAACGAGCGCAACCCUUAAGCUUAGUUGCCAUCAUUAAGUUGGGCACUCUAAGUUGACUGCCGGUGACAAACCGGAGGAAGGUGGGGAUGACGUCAAAUCAUCAUGCCCCUUAUGAUUUGGGCUACACACGUGCUACAAUGGACAAUACAAAGGGCAGCGAAACCGCGAGGUCAAGCAAAUCCCAUAAAGUUGUUCUCAGUUCGGAUUGUAGUCUGCAACUCGACUACAUGAAGCUGGAAUCGCUAGUAAUCGUAGAUCAGCAUGCUACGGUGAAUACGUUCCCGGGUCU
rnacentral:rRNA from 1 species